rnacentral:rRNA from 1 species
GAUGAACGCUGGCGGCGUGCCUAAUACAUGCAAGUCGAGCGAACGGACGAGAAGCUUGCUUCUCUGAUGUUAGCGGCGGACGGGUAAGUAACACGUGGAUAACCUACCUAUAAGACUGGGAUAACUUCGGGAAACCGGAGCUAAUACCGGAUAAUAUUUUGAACCGCAUGGUUCAAAAGUGAAAGACAGUCUUGCUGUCACUUAUAGAUGGAUCCGCGCUGCAUUAGCUAGUUGGUAAGGUAACGGCUUACCAAGGCAACGAUGCAUAGCCGACCUGAGAGGGUGAUCGGCCACACUGGAACUGAGACACGGUCCAGACUCCUACGGGAGGCAGCAGUAGGGAAUCUUCCGCAAUGGGCGAAAGCCUGACGGAGCAACGCCGCGUGAGUGAUGAAGGUCUUCGGAUCGUAAAACUCUGUUAUUAGGGAAGAACAUAUGUGUAAGUAACUGUGCACAUCUUGACGGUACCUAAUCAGAAAGCCACGGCUAACUACGUG